rnacentral:rRNA from 1 species
UAAGGAAUAUUGCGCAAUGGGGGAAACCCUGACGCAGCGACGCCGCGUGAGCGAUGAAGGCCUUCGGGUCGUAAAGCUCUGUCAGAUGGGAAGAACUUACCGGAUAUUAAUAAGAUUCGGUAUUGACGGUACCAUCAGAGGAAGCGCCGGCUAACUCCGUGCCAGCAGCCGCGGUAAGACGGAGGGCGCAAGCGUUGUUCGGAAUCACUGGGCGUAAAGCGCGAGUAGGUGGUCUGUUAUGUCAGAUGUGAAAGCCCAAGGCUCAACCUUGGAAUUGCGUUUGAAACUGGCAGACUAGAGUGCAGUAGGGGAGGGUGGAAUUCCUAGUGUAGAGGUAAAAUUCGCAGAUAUUAGGAGGAACACCGGUGGCGAAGGCGGCCCUCUGGGCUGCAACUGACGCUGAAUCGCGAAAGCGUGGGGAGCAAACAGG